CCGGGCUGACCUCGGAGGCGGUGCCAGCACGCCAGAAGCCGCACCUCGCUACUGAGUUCGCCAUGCGGGCGUCCCCGCUGCUGGUUGCGCUGCUGCUGCUGGCGCUACUGCUUGGUAACGAGGUGGAGGCGUGUCCCAAGAGGUGUCCUCCAGACCAGCCGACAGUAUGCGCCGCAGGACCACGCAACAAGUUCCGCAAGACCUUCCCCAGCGCCUGCCACGUCAUCAUCUACAACUGCGUUUACAAAAGGCGAUUGCGACUAGUGAAACGAGGUCCCUGCUGAAUGUAAUAAUAUUGAGCAGAAGAAUUCAUCCAUAACUGUCAUUCAGUGCUGAAGCCAUCACACAUAACGACCAUCAGUAAAGAAGCAAUCUUAAACGGAACAGAGGGCGAGAGGGAAAGGGCUGCUUGUUUACGGCCGAGAGAACUGACCUUGACAAGCAAUGAAUUUCAUUCCUGGUAUCAAGAUUCCACUACUUCUCCAGAUGAAAACUGCUUACUUGCUUUAAAGCGGAAGACUGAUCGGUCUACUUAUUAAAUUGUCACAGUUUCGUAUGCACAUUUCAUUUAACAUUGAUUUUUUAAAACAUUUAUCAUAUGUUAAGCUUUAAAUUUUGGGGUUCCUUUUCAGCUCAUAGCUAUGGUCUAGAAAAUAACUUAUUUUGUGUAAUGUGAACAACUAAGUACGGGAUCACUUAAAUUAAGUGCGACAUACUAUGUUAUUAUUAUUGUUAUUAUUAUUAUUAUUUGUUGUGCUAGUACAUUUAAUCACAUAUCCUGUAAUGCAAAAAAUUGUUAAUAAAACUCAUUGAAUCACAA